rnacentral:rRNA from 1 species
UGUUGGGGUAACGGCCCAACAAGCCUGUAAUCGGUACGGGUUGAGGGAGCAAGAGCCCGGAGAUGGAUUCUGAGACACGAAUCCAGGCCCUACGGGGCGCAGCAGGCGCGAAAACUUUACAAUGCGGGCAACCGUGAUAAGGAAACCCCGAGUGCCAGCACAGGCUGGCUGUCCACCAGUGUAAACAGCUGGUGAAGAAAGGGCCGGGCAAGACCGGUGCCAGCCGCCGCGGUAAUACCGGCGGCUCGAGUGGUGGCCGCUAUUACUGGGCUUAAAGGGUCCGUAGCUUGAUAUACAAGUCCCUUGAGGAAUCCGCCAGCUUAACUGGCGGGCGUUCAGGGGAAACUGUAUUUCUAGGGACCGGGAGAGGUGAGAGGUACUGCCGGGGUAGGAGUGAAAUCCUGUAAUCCCGGUGGGACCACCUAUGGCGAAGGCAUCUCACCAGAACGGGUCCGACAGUGAGGGACGAAAGCUGGGGGAGCAAACCGGAUUAGAU